AUUCCUAGACAGUCAAAUCUGAUAGGUGACAUAUACCAUCCUACUGUCUUUGAUCGAUCCCUCGAUCGUACUAUAACAGAUCGCAUCAAGGAAUGAAGGAAGUCAAGGGUCACUGAGUGCCUUCUGCUACUGGCCAUCUACCAUCCUCUAAAUCAGACUUAUCCUCGGACAGCGAAGGAGGGCACACUCUGUCAACUCCUCCCCCAGCCCGC
rnacentral:lncRNA from 1 species